ensembl:snRNA U2 U2 spliceosomal RNA
AUUGCUUCUUGAUCUUCUGGCUAAGAUCAAGUGUAAUUAGUAUAGUAGCUUUCUUUUUUAAUCAGUUUACUAUCUGACAUGCUCUCUAUCAGAUAAUACAUAAAAUGGAUUUUUGGAGCAGGGAGAUGGAAUAGGAGCUUUCUCCAUCCACUCCAGGCAUCAACACAGUACGUCCAGAAAUGGUGCACUCUAC